GUGUAAACAUCAUCACGGAGUACAGCUCCUUUAUUCUUCCAACUUUGUUUCUCCUGGGGAGUAGCAGCAGCUUGUUGUUCCUUCAGAAGCCUAAGAUCUGUAGGCAAUGUUUGCAUAGUGUAGAUGGGUAGUGUAUCUGUGGCCACUCUUCUGUCCACUUCCCAUCCUUGUCGUGCUGCUUCCUUAGCUGCCUGAUCAGCUAAGAGGUUGCCACGUGCUUCUUCUGUGUCUAGUCUUCCGUGGGCUUUUACUUUCAGUACUGCCACCUCUGCUGGGAGUUCCAAUGCAUCCAUCAGUUCUGCAAUAGCUGCCCCAUGCUUUACUG